CUCAUGUGUAUCAUUCUUUGGUCCCUGGUACCAGCUCUCCUCUAAUCAGAUAGCCCAACCUGAACCAGAAAUUAUAUUUAUGAUCUCGAAGACAAGAAUAUACAAUUUAUUCUUACAAAUAUUUACCAUCUGAAUAUUCUCAUGUGAAGAAAUAGAUUAUAAAAUGUAAGAGAAAUUUGCAUGGUCAAGGGAAACCAUUCAGUAUCUCACAAGAUAAAUAAGUUUUCAGGACAACAGGAAAAGCCGCAGCACAAUUCCGCUUCUGAUUGGUGAUCUACACACUCUUCUGAAGUGAAAGAGAUUUCAGAGCUGCUGUACAACACAACACUUCAGAGGAAGCUGAAAUAUCUACACAUAUAAUCUGAG